rnacentral:tRNA from 1 species
GAAUAGAAGUCAAAGAGAGACAAAUUAUUGUUAAUAAUUUUAAUGAAUUUUAAAUUCCUAUUCAAG